rnacentral:rRNA from 1 species
UUCCAGACUCCUACGGGAGGCAGCAGUGGGGGAUAUUGCACAAUGGGGGGAACCCCGAUGCAGCGACGCCGCGUGGGUGAAGAAGUAUUUCGGUAUGUAAAGCCCUAUCGGCAGGGAAGAAAUUGGACGGUACCUGACUAAGAAGCCCUGGCUAACUACGUGCCAGCAGCCGCGGUAAUACGUAGGGGGCAAGCGUUAUCCGGAUUCACUGGGUGUAAAGGGAGCGUAGACGGCCAUGCAAGCCUGGAGUGAAAGCCCGGGGCCCAACCCCGGGACUGCUCUGGGAACUGUGCGGCUGGAGUGCGGGAGGGGCAGGCGGAAUUCCUGGUGUAGCGGUGAAAUGCGUAGAUAUCAGGAGGAACACCGGCGGCGAAGGCGGCCUGCUGGACCGCGACUGACGUUGAGGCCCGAAAGCGUGGGGAGCAAACAGGAUUAGAUACCCUCGUAACC